rnacentral:rRNA from 1 species
UACGUAGGGUGCGAGCGUUAAUCGGAAUUACUGGGCGUAAAGCGUGCGUAGGCGGUCCGCGAAGUCUGAUGUGAAAGCCCCGGGCUCAACCUGGGAACUGCAUUGGAAACUAACGGGCUCGAGUGUGGCAGAGGGGGGUGGAAUUCCACGUGUAGCGGUGAAAUGCGUAGAGAUGUGGAGGAACACCGAUGGCGAAGGCAGCCCCCUGGGCUAACACUGACGCUCAGGCACGAAAGCGUGGGGAGCAAACAGG